ACAGAUUACCCUAACAAUUUACACUUGCUAUACCCCAACUCUCCAAGUCAAGAUGUCUCUAGCCACCAAUCAACACUCUAUUGUUCAGCUAAAUGUGUCAGACCUUAGAUGAGUCACAAACCAACAUCAAAGUUUCAUGUAUGUCAUGCACAUGCCUUUUAUCUAACUUUUCAGCCAACAGCAUCAACUUGUUCACUUAAGACUGCCUGCCCACUCCGCCAACUCCUCCCAAGUCUUUGACUCUAAUUCUACCCUUUAUAAUCCCCACUAUAUCUAUGUGUAAAGUGCUACAUUCCUCAACACUGAACUACUGGCUUAAACUUUCCUGCCCAUACAUCAGUUCCAAACAAAUUGCAUCAAUGGAUCUACAAGGACACACAUCCAACACACAUCUCACAACCACUAUCUCCAAAAGAUCCUUUAUCAUACCCCAAGGAUUGCACGUCUGCUUCCUCACAGACUCAAUAUGUCGAGAUAUUAAAGACUACAUGCCAAAAGCACAAUGCUGGGUGCACCCAGGGACAACGCUUCUAAGAUCUGCUAUGCAACACACCAACCACUUUAAGACAGUACACAGCAACAGCAUUGUGAUCCUUCACAUCGGAACAAAUGACAUUGCAAGUGGAGCACCUGCAUCAACAGUCAUCCAACGCAUGAAAACUCUCAUAAAAAGAAUAUCCCUCACUAAUCCUCACAUCCUUUACUAUGGAAUCAGUGCUAUCUUACCACGUCUGACAGAUAACUCUACAACUAAGAACACUGUCAAAGAGUUCAACAGCUUGCUUCGCUACUGGACUGAACAAACAACAAACAUAAUUUUUCUGAACACAACAAAACCAUUCCUAAAAAGUGGAAAAAUACUCUAUCACCUAUACAAGCAAGAUGGGCUACAUCUCACUACACAAGGAAAACAAAGACUUUUUGCCUACUUCCAGCGUUUCCUCUGGCAUUUUUGUCAUUUUCAAACUCCCACAAAAAAAUGUU